rnacentral:rRNA from 1 species
GAUGAACGCUGGCGGCGUGCCUAAUUCAUGCAAGUCGAGCGAACAGACGAGGAGCUUGCUCCUCUGACGUUAGCGGCGGACGGGUGAGUAACACGUGGAUAACCUACCUAUAAGACUGGGAUAACUUCGGGAAACCGGAGCUAAUACCGGAUAAUAUAUUGAACCGCAUGGUUCAAUAGUGAAAGACGGUUUUGCUGUCACUUAUAGAUGGAUCCGCGCCGCAUUAGCUAGUUGGUAAGGUAACGGCUUACCAAGGCGACGAUGCGUAGCCGACCUGAGAGGGUGAUCGGCCACACUGGAACUGAGACACGGUCCAGACUCCUACGGGAGGCAGCAGUAGGGAAUCUUCCGCAAUGGGCGAAAGCCUGACGGAGCAACGCCGCGUGAGUGAUGAAGGUCUUCGGAUCGUAAAACUCUGUUAUUAGGGAAGAACAAAUGUGUAAGUAACUAUGCACGUCUUGACGGUACCUAAUCAGAAAGCCACGGCUAACUACGU